rnacentral:lncRNA from 1 species
GGGAAAGCCAGCAUGAGGCGAAGGGGCCAGUUUGAUCUUCAGAGUUAUCAUUCAAGAGUGUGACACUGAGAUUACACAAUGUCAUGCAGGUGUGCACAGGUCCAAAGCUGUGAUCCUCUGUACGUCUGGUUUGGGGAGAGCCAAGACAUGAAGAAGGUCAACAGUCAGAAAGUGAAAUGUAGGGAGAAAAAGGCGAAAGGAUGCAUCAUCACUAAAUUGUUAUCCUAACCCAGUGUGAAGAAAGGUGUAGUAGAAAAGAGGCUUGAAUGUGUCUCUCAGAGGUGACAUUUCUCAGAUGCACUCUUG